AAGCCCUUCUAGAAAUGAACAGAGGCAGAGCAGCUCACUCUCCACAAAUCACCUGCUCUCCAGCUUAAGGCAAUAUUUACGGUGACACUGAGAUCAAUAUACCAUGUGAUGGUAUGGAGGUUUUGGUUCCUCAUCUCUGCAUUAAGGCAUCCAUCGCAAGAGGAGCAAUGGACUGGACUAUACACUGGUACCUGUGAUAGCUCAUCUCAGCUCCCCACAUAGAUUCAAUGGUAUUAAAAGAAGCAGAUAUGAUGCCACAACUGGCUUACUGAAUAAAGGCAUGCUGGUAGUCCUGUGAAGUGUACAGGCAAAAAGGCUUGGGCUGAGCAAGCUGCCAAAAUGGAUCCACCAGCCCUCCAUCAGAUGAACCUAUUCAUCAUCCCACAAUGAAGGAUCCUUCAGAGAAUUCACCCCUUCUUCUAACACAUGAAUACAAGAUGCAGCAGGAUUUCUUCAACAAUUAUAAAGCUUUGCAUCAUGUCUUUGACUACUGUCCAGUGAGGACUGCAGUGGAAUCAUAAACAACCUGGAUGUGCUUGAAACACACACUCCUUUCCCAGAAAUGCACUGCUUAGUGACCAUGUGCUCUGUGCCACGAGCAUCACUGAGGCAAUGCCCUGGGAAGAUGUCAGUGAGUCCACUUUCACUGGAAGACUGGGUGUAUGUGCACUGAUGUAAUGCAAUAGCACAACCAUUUGCAAGGACAUCCACAACUGCAAGUAACUGUGCCUCUGUAGGAAACAGGCAAUGCAGGAAUUUCUUGUAUUUAACCCAAACAUAAAGACUGAAAGAUACAAAAAACCUAGUGUGUGGCUGACAAAUUGGCAUAAAAACGUCUUUCAACAGUAAACUGCUUAAGUGAUAAGGAAUGUAACCGUUGUAAUACAACUACAGCCCUUGUGCUUAGCCAAGUCUUAAGAAAGCACACUAAAGGUGCAGCUAUCUCAUGUGAGCCAUGUUGCUUGAAGCUUAUUUACUAGUACUUUGAUUUUUUUUUCUUUCAGUUUAUACACUGUAUGCAAUACCAGUAAUCAUUUUGAAAGCAAUGUCUAUUGGGCACUAUAAAAUUUUGCUGCACAUUCUCACAUUUCAGCAUUGCUGGUCAUGUUUCCUUGUAACUUACAAGAUGUAGAUGUAUUAGGUUUCUAUAUAUGCACGUGUCCAUAUGUAUAUAUGUACAUGAGUCUGUGUAUAUAUACACAGCACAAAUAAAGGUAUAAUUCCAUUCAA